rnacentral:rRNA from 1 species
GAUGAACGCUGGCGGCGUGCCUAAUACAUGCAAGUCGAACGAAACUUCUUUAUCACCGAGUGCUUGCACUCACCGAUAAAGAGUUGAGUGGCGAACGGGUGAGUAACACGUGGGCAACCUGCCCAAAAGAGGGGGAUAACACUUGGAAACAGGUGCUAAUACCGCAUAACCAUAGUUACCGCAUGGUAACUAUGUAAAAGGUGGCUAUACUACCGCUUUUGGAUGGGCCCGCGGCGCAUUAGCUAGUUGGUAGGGUAAAGGCUUACCAAGGCAAUGAUGCGUAGCCGAAUUGAGAGGUUGAUCGGCCACAUUGGGACUGAGACACGGCCCAAACUCCUACGGGAGGCAGCAGUAGGGAAUCUUCCGCAAUGGGCGAAAGCCUGAUGGAGCAACGCCGCGUGGGUGAAGAAGGUCUUCGGAUCGUAAAACCCUGUUGUUAGAGAAGAAAGUGCGUGAGAGUAACUGUUCACGUUUCGACGGUAUCUAACCAGAAAGCCACGGCUAACUACGUG